rnacentral:rRNA from 1 species
UAGGGAAUCUUCCACAAUGGGCGAAAGCCUGAUGGAGCAACGCCGCGUGUGUGAUGAAGGCUUUAGGGUCGUAAAGCACUGUUGUAUGGGAAGAAAUGCUAGAAUAGGGAAUGAUUCUAGUUCGACGGUACCAUACCAGAAAGGGACGGCUAAAUACGUGCCAGCAGCCGCGGUAAUACGUAUGUCCCGAGCGUUAUCCGGAUUUAUUGGGCGUAAAGCGAGCGCAGACGGUUGAUUAAGUCUGAUGUGAAAGCCCGGGGCUCAACUCCGGAAUGGCAUUGGAAACUGGUUAACUUGAGUGCUGUAGAGGUAAGUGGAACUCCAUGUGUAGCGGUGGAAUGCGUAGAUAUAUGGAAGAACACCAGUGGCGAAGGCGGCUUACUGGACAACAACUGACGUUGAGGCUCGAAAGUGUGGGUAGCAAACAGGAUUAGAUACCCUGGUAGUCCACACCGUNNCGAUGAAUACUAGGUGUUAGGAGGUUUCCGCCUCUUAGUGCCGAAGCUAACGCAUUAAGUAUUCCGCCUGGGGAGUACNACCGCAAGGNUG